UACGUAGGGUCCGAGCGUUUGUCCGGAAUUACUGGGCGUAAAGAGCUCGUAGGUGGUUUGUCGCGUUGUUCGGUGAAAACUCACAGCUCAACUGUGGGCGUGCGGGCGAUACGGGCAGACUGGAGUACUGCAGGGGAGACUGGAAUUCCUGGUGUAGCGGUGGAAUGCGCAGAGUAUCAGGAGGAACACCCGGUAGGGCGAAGGC
rnacentral:rRNA from 1 species